rnacentral:rRNA from 1 species
AUUGAACGCUGGCGGCAGGCCUAACACAUGCAAGUCGAGCGCGCGGCGGACGGGUGAGUAAUGUAUGGGGACUGCACGAUAGGGGGGGAUCACUACUGGAAACGAUGGCUAAUACCGCAUACUAUAGUAUCACCCAUAUGGGAUUAGCUAGUAGGUGGGGUAAAGGCUCACCUAGGCGACGAUCUCGAGCUGGUCUGAGAGGAUGAUCAGCCACACUGGUACUGAGAAACGGCCCAGACUCCGACGGAGGCAGCAGUGGGGAAGAUUGCACAAUGGGCGCAAGCCUGAUACAGCCAUGCCGCGUGUAUGAAGAAGGCCUUAGGGUUGUAAAGUACUUUCAGCGGGUAGGCGUUACCCGCAGAAGAAGCACCGGAUAACUCCGUGCCAGCAGACGCGGUAAUUC